AUUGUCCCAACAAGGCUGUGCAAGAAACAAUCAGGAAAGCUCAGCAGCAUAAAACUGUAAGUGUUUAUAGUUCAUGCAUCUGAGAGUUGCCUGGGCAACUCCCCUGACCUCAGCAGGGGUCGUUCACACCUUUGAGGAUGGCUUUAUUUAAGCAAGGACAACCUGCUUACAUCAGAUGAGAAAACUGGGUCUGAGAAUCCAGAUGUCCUGAGUGAGUAAAGGGAAAAUUUUCACUUCUUCCUAUGGAAGCCUGUCACCCCCCAACUCCAUCCUAGGCUGAGGAAGUCUGCGUUCUUCUCUCACGGAGCUGGAGAACCUUUCAAGUGAUUGGCCUAAGAACAGGCAGGAGACGCGAUCUGGACCAAUCAGAAACUUACAUUGAGGGCUCAUUCCAGUGGUCUAGGCUGCAGCUCCUGGUUGGAGUCACAUCCAGCCAUGCUUUCUGUGCCCUGAUCAGCUGGAUUAGAUGUGAAGAUUCUCAGAAUUUCAGAAUUGAGAUGCAGAGAUUCUCCAUUCAGAAUCUCAGAAUUCCCAGAUUCUCAGAAUCUCCAAAAGCUUGCUGGUCCCCCGGGCAAAUGCAGCCGCUAGGGAGGGGCACCCGCAUGGAGGCGGUAUGCAGCUGGCUGCAGAACAAACAGCAGAGAAGAUGUCUGAGUUGGAGGACAUUGAGGCUCCACCAGCCCUAGGGGGCACAGGAGACCAGGGACACACGAAACAGAACAGCUGCCUGACCUCUGCCCUGGGUCACACUGGCAUGGGCUCCAUCUGUUCCUGAAUGAGGAGAGAGGCUGAAGUGAGAGCCUGACAUUUGUCCUUCUCUCAUCUUUCUGUCUAGCCUGUCCCUUAAUCGGGCUCUGAUAAGAGGCGACAGGAGACUCAUAUAAGCACCAGCUUUGGGUCCUUGAUGAUAGGUUAUUGUAAAUGACAUGGAGGCCCUUUACAAAGAAUGGAUAAAUUGCUCCCAACAGAGGCAGGAGGAAUGCUUGAAGCCAGGAGUCUGAGACCCCAUCUCUACCAAAAAUGUAAUCAUUAGCCAGGUGCUGUGGCAAGCACCUGUAGUCCCAGCUACUUGGGAGGUCGAGGUGGGAGAAUCACGUGAGCCUGGGAAGUUGAGGCUGCAGUGAGCUGAGAACACGCCACUGCACUCCAGCCUGGUGGACAGAGUGAGACUUUGUAUU
rnacentral:lncRNA from 1 species